rnacentral:rRNA from 1 species
UACGGAGGGGGCUAGCGUUGUUCGGAAUUACUGGGCGUAAAGCGCACGUAGGCGGCUUUUCAAGUCAGAGGUGAAAGCCCGGGGCUCAACCUCGGAAUUGCCUUCGAUACUGCCGGUCUCGAGUCCGGGAGAGGUGAGUGGAAUUCCCAGUGUAGAGGUGAAAUUCGUAGAUAUUAGGAAGAACACCAGUGGCGAAGGCGGCUCACUGGCCCGGUACUGACGCUCAGGUGCGAAAGCGUGGGGAGCAAACAGG